rnacentral:lncRNA from 1 species
CAAUUGUAAUUUUUUUUGAAAAUUGAAUGUAGUUACUAAUUCAUGAUCUGACAUGUACAGAAUGAAAACUUCAUUCCCGAUUCUACGAGAAUUUUUAUGAAAGUCUUUCAUUUGAUUCUCUUCGAUGGAAGUUUGAUUUUCCCAGAAUGUAUCCUAAUUUUUGGCCUAAUUCUUCUUCUGAUGAUCGAUUCAACCUCUGAUUAAAAAGAUAUACCUUG